CAGGGAAUUUUGCGCAAUGGGCGAAAGCCUGACGCAGCGACGCCGCGUGAGGGAAGAAUGCCUUAGGGUUGUAAACCUCUUUUCUGAGGGAAGAGUAAGGACGGUACCUCAGGAAUAAGCCCCGGCUAACUACGUGCCAGCAGCCGCGGUAAUACGUAGGGGGCGAGCGUUGUCCGGAAUUAUUGGGCGUAAAGGGCGUGUAGGCGGUUCAGGAAGUCUUUGGCGAAAUCUCCCGGCUUAACUGGGAGCCGUCCAGAGAAACUCUUGGACUUGAGAACAGCAGAGGAGGGUGGAAUUCCCGGUGUAGUGGUGAAAUGCGUAGAUAUCGGGAGGAACACCAGUGGCGAAGGCGGCCCUCUGGGCUGUUUCUGACGCUGAGGCGCGAAAGCAUGGGUAGCGAACCGG
rnacentral:rRNA from 1 species